UCGAUGAGGAAGGCCCGGUCACCAAGUAACGCGCAAUCGAACAGUUCGCCUUGGUUCAUGUCCCGGAGAAGCUUGGCCCGGCCCGUUUGUUUGUCCAUUCCAUAGCGUGCCAAUAUUGGCGACAAUAAUUUGCAGUGGUAGUUGGAGAGGCCCAUCACCUUUACCAGUUCCGUGUUCUUCUUGGGAGCCCCCGUCACUCCGAGUAGCGCGUUCCGCAGCAGAUUGUGCAGCACUACGUCCGGGUCGGUCACCUCCUCCACUCCCAGCAGCUGUUGCUGCUCGUGCCGCUGUCCGCACUCGGUACACUCGAUGCUGACAGAACCCGAGGCCGGGAAGAAGAGGCGCGCCUGGCACUUGGGAUCCGGGCAACUCCCGGAAAGGAUUCUUCGGUCCCUUCGUUUCGAAAGGCCCCCCGGAGAAGCCGCCGCCGCCAGAGACGACGAAGUCUGCGGAGCCUCAGGGGGAGGCGGCGGCGGCGGCAGCGGAGGAGGCGGCGGCGGCUGAGACAUCGCUCUCGGCUCUCGCUCGGCGUCCCAAGCGACCCUCAAAGGCACAUAGCCAGACCUCCGCCGGCCCGACGAGGUCUAGUCCAGGCCCAGGGCGAAUGGCUUUCCUUUUCCUACCAGUUCCUCCUCCUCCUAGGCGAAGGCGGAAGCGCCGGACGUUGUUUCUCUUCUCACUUCUCCACUGCCUUAGCCGUUGCCCCGAACGUAACGGCCACCACCCCACCCCGCACUCACACUCACUCACUCUCGCUCUCUCCCUCAGACACAGACAUACACGCCCUCACUGAGACUGCGCAGGCGUAGCUUCUGCUCUGCCCUCUGGGAACCAGAGUCUUCCGGCUCCUCUCUCGCGAAGGAGUGCUAGGCGCUUCCGUCCAGAAAGAACUUCAAAUACCGUGAUGCAAAGCGACUCGACGCACGCGGGGAGGAGGAAGAGGAAGGCACUCGGAAGAGGACAAGUGGUGGCUCCAGACUGUCUGAAGACAGGAGUCUGUCAAGUGUCUGCUUUAAGAAAUCAGGUGUGCUGGCUGCUCCUAACUCUCAGAAGAAUGGGGAAGGGAGAUAAAGUGAUGCCCAGCCCAGCCCACAGGACACCUCCCCGCUCCAAGCCCUGUUCCUUACAUGCUGUCAUUGCUGAACACGGCUAGCCUCUGGGACUCCUGAGGAGAAGAAAAUAUGCAAGGAAGAACAGGAGACAUUUAGAUCUUAAAAUACCAGAAGUCUGAAGAUAGCAAAUUAUCUCUGAGAUGUUUAUCUUCUCUCAACUAAUUUGAAAUGCUACUUUGAAAAUGUGUAAGAUCUUGUAUAUGCACCAGUCUUGGAAUAUUUUCUGGACUCUGCCCCAUUUCUGAUUUUUUUAGUGUCUUAUAGACCAAGUCCUAUUUCAUAACAAGUUUCUUAGUUAUUUGUCUGUUGUUCUGAGACAGGAUCUUACUAUGUAGCCUUGGUUAGCCUAGAACUCACUAUGUAGACCAGGCUGGUCUGGAAG